GCUCGGCCUCGGCAGCCGGAUCCGGCCCUUCCACCAGCGGCGCCGACCGGGCGCGGUCGCGGCGACGGGCGCGCGUGAGCGAGAAGGCGACUGCCGGCAGGGCGGAGUCGAGCCCGGAGACGCCUUUCGACUUCGCCAACGCCGCCGGAUCGGGAGCGUCCUCGAGCGGCAACGAAGCCGCGCGGCCGACGGCGGAGCUGGGGUCAGACGGAAGGCCGUCGGAUAGCCACGAGGGGCACGACUCGCCGGCGAAGCGCUCGCGGACGGACCUCGCCGCCGGCGAAGCUACGGCGACCGCGGCAAAAGUGGAGGUGAGCUUUCUUAUUCCGUUCUUGUUUCCAAUUCCUCGCGGCGUCUCCAUAUCGCUUCUGGACUCUCUCUCCGAUCCUUUGACGGUUUGCUUUUCGCGUGAAUGCUUCCUCCGUCGGUUAUCCAUCUCGCGUGUGCCGCUCACUUUUGCCCACGAAACUAGUGGGAAAAUGAUUUCGCUGCAUGUUUACCUGAAAAAAAUGGUUUCGCUGCCUUUUUCCCAUCGAUGAUUCUUUCCCACGUGCGACGUGGUGUUCUUCUUUUGGAAUUGCACGUCGACAUGCUGUUGGUAGAUAAAUUUUUUUUUCGUUCUGACUUGCUUUGCAAGACAAGUACCUUUUCCUGGCUCUGCUUGCGGUAGGGGUUGUUGUAGGCUCAUCGAAUGCCUGCUGGCCGGCAAGGGCUCGUGGGCCGCGGGUGGCGGUAUCGUGCCGCCGGGCCCACCAUGGCUGCCGGUCCUUUGGUUAAAUUUUUUUUAACUGUCUGUAUUGUCACACACAUGAAUUUCGUCUUGUUUCCUGUCAUCCUAUAUUUGAACCAGCAGUGCCUUUUCUUUUUAAUUAAACUCCCCGUUGCGUGCAUCUUGGACCAGUUGAGUUUUGCAAUGUUGUUGCUUCAUCAUGGAGCUAAAACCCGUUUUGACUGAUGCUGUGCAGGAGCAGAAGACCAAGGAGGAUUACCGGGACGAGAAGGGCCACCUGCUGUUCGACCUCAACGAAGCUUGGGGUGGUAACUAACACUAGCAGGCGAUCGAGCAGAGGAUUUUUCAAGCUAGUUCCUAUUUCGUCUGCUCUCAUGUGUACAUACAAUUAGCUUAGACAAAGGGGGAUUAGUGAGUGAGUACACUCGUCAGCACUACUAGAUUUGUCAGGUUGGUUUAAUCAGUCUGCUCUGUUCGCCUCUGCUGUGCUGUGCUAUAUGCACUGGAUAUUGUUUGUCAUUCAGAAAGUCGAUCAAGAAAAAUAUGAUGCACAUUAUGUAUUGCAGCGCACAACAAAACACAACGCUGAUGUACGUGGAAUUGUGGAUGGUUUUGUGAGUUGGAUAUGUCUCCACUAAUCGUCCAUGAAUGAUUUUAGCAAUCUAAAGUCAAG
rnacentral:lncRNA from 1 species